rnacentral:lncRNA from 1 species
AUCUUCGCAGCGGGUUAAGUAGGAUUAAUACCAAAUCCCUAUUAUAUUUGCCAAGCAACUUGAAUUUAUCAAAAUCCCCCCUCGCUGUUCUGGAGCUCCGAGAGGAGGAAAUUUUGCCCACAGUGUAAGAUCCAGACAUACCAGUACGUAGGAAUACCAGCAUACUGCAUUACACCGGCUCCCUGCACUAGCAAUACAAUUACAACCCGAGGCUCCCGCUGUUCCCUUUCCUUUGUGCUGUUAAACGCAGCCAGGAAACUUAAUGUAUUCGCCAGAAGAGGGGCGGGAUGAAAGCGCUUUCAACCUCCCCGCCAUAAACUUUAAUCGGAUUCCGCGCUGUUGCACGGCAUGGACUCUUCGCCUCUUGUCUGCGUCUCCUUCCCCGUUGUCUCCCAUGUCUACUACUACUACUGUCUGCUUUGCAAGAGCUUGAUUCUUCAGGCGAAUAAGUGAUUUCUUUCUCUUGCCAUGUGCAAUCUCUCCCCCCUCCCCUUCCUACCCUCUCUGGCCUGUCUUACACACACUAUGCCUUUCACAUGCGGUCUGCGCCCCCUCAGCCCCCCUCCCCUUCUUUCUCUUUUGCAGUGUCUUCACAUGCAAUCUCUCCCUGAAUGUGCAAUGUCUUUCCUGCUCAAGAGUGCAGCGUCCUUCACAGUGGAUUGGUUCCUCUUUCGGAGCAGAGAAGUCAGUUCCAGAAGAAAAUUUCUAUGAUCCUCAGAAAUCCAGUCUGCUAUACUGAUAUGUGUGACCAAUAUGGAGCUUCAGGUAUUGUGAACACAGACUGUCUACAAGUCCCAUUAUUCCUGUAGAAUACAACAUUGAGGCCCCUCUAGAAAGAACCUCAGCCACCUUCUUUAUUGAUUACAUUACAUUAUGGCAAGGGCAAGGCAAGUCAGGUGUGUGG